UGUUCCUACGGGAGGCAGCAGUGGGGAAUAUUGGACAAUGGGGGAAACCCUUAUCCAGCGACGCCGCGUGAGGGAAGAAGGUUUUCGGAUUGUAAACCUCUGUCAGUGGGGACGAUAAUGACGGUACCCACGGAGGAAGCCACGGCUAACUACGUGCCAGCAGCCGCGGUAAUACGUAGGUGGCAAGCGUUGUCCGGAAUCACUGGGUGUAAAGGGAGCGUAGGCGGGAUGUCAAGCCAGAAGUGAACAUUAUGGGC
rnacentral:rRNA from 1 species